AGAUGGGCAUCAGAUUUGUGGCGGCGAUGACGAUGAUUGUGGUGGCGGCGGCGGCGACGGGAUCGGCGGCGCAGUCGACGCCGGAGUGCGCGUCGAAGCUGGUGGGCUGUGCGCAAUACUUGAACUCGACGACGCCGCCGGAUACGUGCUGCGGGCCGCUGAAGCAGGAGGCGAAGGACGACCUGCCCUGCCUCUGCGCCCUCUUCAACAACACCGCUGUCCUCAAGGCCUUCAAUGUCAACAUCACCCAGGCCCUACAGAUGGCCAAGCGCUGCGGCGUCAACGCUGACCAGAGCACCUGCGCCACU
rnacentral:lncRNA from 1 species